UACGGAGGAUCCAAGCGUUAUCCGGAUUUAUUGGGUUUAAAGGGUGCGUAGGCGGAUUGAUAAGUUAGAGGUGAAAUGUCCGAGCUCAACUCGGGAACUGCCUCUAAUACUGUUGAUCUAGAGAGUAGAUGCGGUAGGCGGAAUGUAUGGUGUAGCGGUGAAAUGCUUAGAGAUCAUACAGAACACCGAUUGCGAAGGCAUCUCACGAAUCCGCGAUUGACGCUGAUGCACGAAAGCGUGGGUAUCAAACAGG
rnacentral:rRNA from 1 species